CACUCGACAACGCUGCAAUUGGUCCGC
rnacentral:sRNA from 1 species